CAGUUGAUGUCGUUAUCUUUGUCUGCCUUUUCCUGACCCCUCUGUCUCUCUGUCUUUUUUCUCUCUUCAUCAUAGGCAUCUCAGUCUCUCAUGUGAUGACAUAGUGCAGAUGGAGCCAUGACUCAUGGCUUACAGCACCCGCUUUAAUUACAGCAGAUGUAAACAAGCCUGUCAGUUAUGCUAAUCCGAACCAUAGCUGGUUGGGGGAGACAAUAACACCAGACGAACAACAGGAAGAGGACCAACUGGAUACCUGCUCCGCGGACUGACCUGUCUCUCAAACCUUCACACGAACAUCAUAUGGAGUUACUAUUGGAGUGAUCACGACAUCUAUUCAUCCCCAGUUUUCCAUCUGCAAACACUGUGCAGUGUGUGUUCUUUGGAGUGAAUGCACAUCUGCAGGGAAAGGAACAUUUGCAGUGGUGGUAUAAUUCGACCAGCCGGCCAGCCAGCCAGCCACGCCAAACCUCAAGCCCGCCAGCAGCUCACAAUCCUGGACCUUCUCUUCUGCCAUCAGCCCCUCUCUGGAUUAUCUCCCACCCUCACCAUCACCACUCCUGUUCACUGAUGAAUACUGUUUAUUUCCUGCCAAGACUGAGUCUGCAUUCCCCUGCAUAAAUGUGACACUUUGUGUUCUUUCAUUCAUGAUGCUACUUUUAUUUAGAUAGUUCUCAGUUUACUACACAUUUAAAAGCCAAAAUAGGCACGAAUAGAAGAGCUAUUAGUAUAACUAAUAUUUAAACUACUAGUAUUGCCGUAACAACCGAUGUUACUGCACUGCAGAUAAUAAGAGGAAAAAUACGUAAUCUAUAAGAAAUGAACAGUGUUAUGUUUCUCGGUAGAGCCGUGCAUUCUGCGACUGUGUAAAAAAUAGUGAUCCUUGUAUUCUUGUAACAUAGUGCUUCAAAUAAAUUAGAUAAAGAAAAACAGGUAACCGGUUUUGUUUGUUAUUUAAUGAGGAACUCCCUGGGGGUCUCCAUGGAGCCCUGGUGGUCCCUGAACCUGACUUUGAGAAACCACUAUUUUCAAGCAGUGUAACCAAUGAAGUACAGUAAUGGAGUGUAGUGGCCUGAAGUGUAGCUAUGAAGUCUUCCCUAAUGACUCUAGCACAUGUGUGUCUGGCUUUCAGCCCUCUCAUUAACGUCACUGGACACUGUAUACUCUGUGGCUGUGUGUGUGUGUGUGUGUGUGUGUGUGUGACGCUGCUGUUUGCCAAUUUAGAAAGGCUUAGAGUGCUACGGUGAUCUCAUCUCCUCUUAAGUUUGCUCACCCUGUGGCUGUGUGUGUGUGUGUGUGUAUGUGUGUGUUUAUGUGAACACACACCUACACAACUACAUGUAGAAGACUUCAUGCACAGGUGAGGGAUGUCUUUCAUUCUCCAGCAACUGGAAGGAUGGAAUAUGUGUCACCUCAUUUUAUACAAGAUAGCUUCCCUUUUCCUCAUUUUUCACUAAGGAGUAAAUGUUCAGUAAAUGUUUCUAUUUCAUUUUUUUUUUUGUUUCAGUUACAGAUGUUGCAGCUCUGGUUUAUGAAUAAGCGAGACCUGUGUGUGUGUGUGUGUGUGUGUGUGUGUGGUAAACAGGGUGGUUUGCUCUGUGGAAGAAGGAAUUUCCCCCAGCAGUCCCCAUCAGUAAUAGUGCCUGUAAUGAGCUGCAGCUGUCAGCGUGGUUUCGGCACACACACAAGCGCGCAAAACACACACAUGUACACAGUGAGGAGGAAGCAGUGACUCACUCAGCAGCGCGCCGUCACACUGUACGCUGAUAAACAGUGUAACUCAUCAGACUUGCAUCAGACACGAGAGACGCAAACAUUUUCCGAAGAAAUACCUUCUAAAUAUAUCUGAGCCUGUGAAUCUACUUUACGACUGUUGUAGAACUAAAAACGCACCGUUUGUGCUUUUCACUUAAAGAUGCAGCGAAAUGAAGAAUACUAAUCCUGCCUGUUCUGCUAUGUCUUGUGUGUAAAAUAUGUUAUUUUGUCACUUCUGUCCCAUUAUUGCAUUCAGGGACGUAUAUCAAUUCAUCCAAUCAAAUUGCAUGAUGAGACGACCCUUGGCCUCGUUAGAUAGUUAUAGAAGCCAGAGGAGCGACAUCAUGGGUCGUAGUGCGUGGAUAUUAGCGACAAUAUGCAUGGCUGCAGUCUAAUUUCUCCCUCGUCUUCCAAUGCGGAUGAAGGAAGCUAAAGGUACUGUCAUUGUCAUACCACUGCAUCUUUAACCCUUGUGUUCAGAUUGGGGUCCUGGAAAAGCAAAAAAAAAGCUCAGAAAACAUACGUAACAUUAUUUUAUCAGCUAGAUGACAUUUGCUAAUAUCAUAAUAAUUGCUUAUAAACAUGAUUUUGAAUUGGGUCUUGUCAUGUAUUGAUUCAUGUACAUAGACACACAAUUUGGGUCAAAAAACACAAGACUUUCACCCAGGAGACCGGUGUUCGUUUUACCCCUGUGAAACCACUAGUCCAAGUUGAUUUAUUUGUCGUGUAACUUCUGUACUUAAGUUACGCCACUUCCGGUGUUAUUUUAACCCA